rnacentral:tRNA from 2 species
UACAUACUAGCCGAAUGGUAAGGCAACUGUCUCUUAAACAGUCUAUGCAGGUUCAAUUCCUGUGUGUGAAUCAA